UGAAGGCAUUUUGUUUGCUAAGCCGUCGGCAAAGGAUCAUCCAAAGAAACAGAACUGAACGUCUGAGUGAGUUACUGGACUGGAAGAGUCUCGGGAAGAAUUACAUGAAAGCGAGGCGAAAAGCUCUGUCAAUGAUCUGUCCUGAGAAAUUUCCAGAGGUCCCUGAAGAGGAUGAGGACGUUCGACAUCAGUAUUUCAGAUUUCCCCGACCAGGUUCCCAGCCUCCCUCCCCAGGUUCUUCAACUUAUGGAUCAGAUGACGAGGAGGAUGAACGCCACAGACUUUACAGUGAAUAAACGACUGAUUUAGAAUUCUGAACCAUUUAAUCCAAAAUAUUUAAUUCGGAUUUCGCUCCUGUGAACAACAAAAUAAUGGAGUGAAAUAUUGUGUGUGCCAUAAUUUCGUACAGUAAUUAACCCAUGGUCUUUAAUUUCGAAUCAGAUAAUCCGACUAACUUUUGCUGUCCAUGAAUCAAAUUAAGUAGUUUUGCUGAAUCAAGCAGUCAUUGCUAUGAAAGUAAUAACUAAAGGCCAUAUUACACAGUUCAGUUUUUCCUGCAACUUGCGACGCAAUUCGACUUUUAAGAGAUGUAAAUUAGUGAAGAGUUCUCAAAAUGCAAGUGCAAGAAACAUCAUGCAGUGUUACACUAUGCAAUUUUCCUUGCAACUUGCAAUGCAAUUAUAAUUUCGAGGGAUGUUAAUUAGU